rnacentral:lncRNA from 1 species
AAAUUUACUAAAAUUUUUUUAACAAGAUGUAAAGCAUGACUUUUAAAAUCAAAUAAAGUUAAAAGUAGCACUGUAAGCAGUUUAAAUGAAGCAGGUCGACAAUAUAUGACUAAGUUUGGAUCAAAAUACGGAUCUGGCCUAGACACUGUUAAAAACAAAAUCAUUAACGAAAUAGCAUAAAAGAUGCGAACCUUUUCCGAAGUUCAAACGACAAUAAUUUUCGGUCUUAAAGUUAAUUUAAAACAGUUCCAAAUAAAAUUUAUACUUUG